GACGAACGCUGGCGGCGUGCUUAACACAUGCAAGUCGAACGAAGAGCGAUGGAAGCUUGCUUCCAUCAAUCUUAGUGGCGAACGGGUGAGUAACGCGUAAUCAACCUGCCCUUCAGAGGGGGACAACAGUUGGAAACGACUGCUAAUACCGCAUACGAUCUAACCUUGGCAUCGAGGAUGGAUGAAAGGUGGCCUCUAUUUAUAAGCUAUCACUGAAGGAGGGGAUUGCGUCUGAUUAGCUAGUUGGAGGGGUAACGGCCCACCAAGGCGAUGAUCAGUAGCCGGUCUGAGAGGAUGAACGGCCACAUUGGGACUGAGACACGGCCCAGACUCCUACGGGAGGCAGCAGUGGGGAAUCUUCCGCAAUGGACGAAAGUCUGACGGAGCAACGCCGCGUGAGUGAUGACGGCCUUCGGGUUGUAAAGCUCUGUUAAUCGGGACGAAAGGCCUUCUUGCGAAUAGUUAGAAGGAUUGACGGUACCGGAAUAGAAAACCACGGCUAACUACGU
rnacentral:rRNA from 1 species